AAUAAAACUUUGAUCAGAAGUAAGUAAGUUUUAUAAAUCUUUUAUAGAGAGCUUGUGUGUGGUGGAAACAAGCAAAGAAGUAAAACCGAAUGGAUCUGAGAGUGCUAAGGUGAAAAAAGUACCCGAGGCCGUCUUCCCACGUUAUAGGGAUAUGAUAUGAAAUUAUUUUAAAUUAGUAUCAGAAUAAAGAUAUGUAGGAUUUAUUAAUUUAUUGAAAUUUAUUUUACAUAAAAAGGAUGGCACCGCGAAUUCAACCAUUUGCUCCUUUG
rnacentral:ncRNA from 1 species